rnacentral:rRNA from 1 species
GAUGAACGCUGGCGGCGUGCCUAAUACAUGCAAGUCGAGCGAACAGACGAGGAGCUUGCUCCUCUGACGUUAGCGGCGCACGGGUGAGUAACAUGUGUAUAACCUACCUAUAAUACUGGGAUAUCUUCGGGAAACCGGAGCUAAUACCGUAUAAUAUAUUGAACCGCAUUGUGCAAUAGUGAAAUACGGUUUUGCUGUCACUUAUAGAUGGAUCCGCGCCGCAUUAGCUAGUUGGUAAGGUAACGGCUUACCAAGGCAACGAGGCGUAGCCGACCUGAGGGGGUGAUCGGCCACACUGGAAGUGAGACACGGACCAGACUCCUACGGGAGGCAGCAGUAGGGUAUCUUACGCAAUGGGCGAGAGCCUGACGGAGCAACGCCGAGUGAGUGAUGGAGGUCUUCGGAUCGUAAAAAUCUGUUAUUAGGGAAGAACAAAUGUGGAAGUAACUAUGCACGUCUUGACGGUAACUAAUCAGAAAGCCACGGCUAACUACGUG